rnacentral:lncRNA from 1 species
GCUCAGAGUGUAGACACUGACUGAUGGGACCAGGUACAAAAUCCCCUGGGACAAAACAGAACUUUCAUAACUGGCUGUAGAGUUAUUGUUUUUGCCUUUUGGAAGCUUCCACCUUGUGACGGGAAGAGCACUGUCAGCCCAACACAGAAACUCUGCCGCCUGGAGUCACGUGGAUCCAGAUGCGAAGGGACUCCAACGUCAUGCUAAGGAGUUUGGGCUAAGAAUUUGUACAGCCAUAUUACAGAUUUGGAAAAUGAUGUGAAGAGAAGCUAAGGGAUUUGCCACUGCCACUCAGCUGCCAAGGAUCAGAGACAUUACUUCUACUUCUCAACGUCCAUCCUCCAACCAUUGUCCAGUGAUUCAGGCAGAAUUCCCUCCUGCUCAGGAGGUAGCCAUCCUGUGACCCUGGAAGAAACCAGCCCAAGGAAGGUGCUAACCUACAGAAGAAGGACAUGGCCAGGGUAAUCACAUAGACCCGGAGUUGAAGCCCUGACUGCACCACACCCGAAGCCUCCCCACCUUUCAACCUCUCGGUGAUGGUGAACCAAUAAACUCUUUUUAUUGUUCAAGCCA